UUCCGAUCUGGUGGAUGCCUUGGCACUAGGAGCCGAAGAAGGACGGCACUAACACCGAUAUGCUUCGGGGAGCUGUAAGUGAGCUGUGAUCCGGAGAUUUCCGAAUGGGGGAACCCACUGCCUUUAAUCGGGCAGUAUCCAUGUGUGAAUUCAUAGCACAUGAGAAGGCAGACCCAGGGAACUGAAACAUCUAAGUACCUGGAGGAAGAGAAAGCAAAUGCGAUUCCCUGAGUAGCGGCGAGCGAAACGGGAUCAGCCCAAACCAAGAGGCUUGCCUCUUGGGGUUGUAGGACACUCUAUACGGAGUUACAAAAGGCAGGAUUAGGCGAAGCGACCUGGAACGGUCCGCCGCAGCGGGUAAUAGCCCCGUAGCCGAAAACCCUGCCCCUCCAGAGUGGAUCCUGAGUACGGCGGAACACGUGAAAUUCCGUCGGAAUCCGGGAGGACCAUCUCCCAAGGCUAAAUACUUCCUAGUGACCGAUAGUGAACCAGUACCGUGAGGGAAAGGUGAAAAGCACCCCGGAAGGGGAGUGAAAUAGAUCCUGAAACCGUGUGCCUACAAGUAGUCAAAGCCCGUUCAUGGGUGAUGGCGUGCCUUUUGUAGAAUGAACCGGCGAGUUACGAUUGCAUGCAAGGUUAAGCCGAGAAGGCGGAGCCGCAGCGAAAGCGAGUCUGAAUAGGGCGACAGAGUAUGCAGUUGUAGACCCGAAACCAGGUGAUCUACCCAUGUCCAGGGUGAAGGUAAGGUAACACUUACUGGAGGCCCGAACCCACGCACGUUGAAAAGUGCGGGGAUGAGGUGUGGGUAGCGGAGAAAUUCCAAUCGAACCUGGAGAUAGCUGGUUCUCUCCGAAAUAGCUUUAGGGCUAGCCUCAAGAAGAGAAUCCUGGAGGUAGAGCACUGUUUGGACUAGGGGCCCAUCCCGGGUUACCGAAUUCAGACAAACUCCGAAUGCCAGUGAUUUAUACUUGGGAGUCAGACUGCGAGUGAUAAGAUCCGUAGUCAAGAGGGAAACAGCCCAGACCACCAGCUAAGGUCCCCAAAUAUCCGUUAAGUGGAAAAGGAUGUGGCGUUGCUUAGACAACCAGGAUGUUGGCUUAGAAGCAGCCAUCAUUUAAAGAGUGCGUAAUAGCUCACUGGUCGAGUGACACUGCGCCGAAAAUGUACCGGGGCUAAACGGAUUACCGAAGCUGUGGAUGGACAUCGUAGAUGUCCGUGGUAGGAGAGCGUUCUAAGGGCGUUGAAGUCAGACCGGAAGGACUGGUGGAGCGCUUAGAAGUGAGAAUGCCGGUAUGAGUAACGAAAGACGGGUGAGAAUCCCGUCCACCGAAUGCCUAAGGUUUCCUGAGGAAGGCUCGUCCGCUCAGGGUUAGUCGGGACCUAAGUCGAGGCCGAUAGGCGUAGACGAUGGACAACAGGUUGAUAUUCCUGUACCACCUCCCCGCCGUUUGAGCAAUGGGGGGACGCAGAAGGAUAAGGAGAGCGUGCCGUUGGUUGUGCACGUCCAAGCAGUGAGGCGUGGAAUGAGGCAAAUCCCAUUCCUGAUACGUUGAGCUGUGAUGGCGAGAGGACUUGUCCUCGAGUCCCUGAUUUCACACUGCCAAGAAAAGCCUCUAGCGAGGCGGGAGGUGCCCGUACCGCAAACCGACACAGGUAGGCGAGAAGAGAAUUCUAAGGUGAGCGAGUGAACUCUCGUUAAGGAACUCGGCAAAAUGACCCCGUAACUUCGGGAGAAGGGGUGCUCUGGUAGGGUGUAUAGCCCGAGAGAGCCGCAGUGAAUAGGCCCAGGCGACUGUUUAGCAAAAACACAGGUCUCUGCAAAACCGUAAGGUGACGUAUAGGGGCUGACGCCUGCCCGGUGCUGGAAGGUUAAGGGGAGUGCUUAGCGCAAGCGAAGGUGCGAACUGAAGCCCCAGUAAACGGCGGCCGUAACUAUAACGGUCCUAAGGUAGCGAAAUUCCUUGUCGGGUAAGUUCCGACCCGCACGAAAGGCGUAAUGAUUUGGGCACUGUCUCAACGAGAGACUCGGUGAAAUUUUAGUACCUGUGAAGAUGCAGGUUACCCGCGACAGGACGGAAAGACCCCAUGGAGCUUUACUGCAGUUUGAUAUUGAGUGUCUGUACCACAUGUACAGGAUAGGUAGGAGUCUAUGAGAUCGGGACGCCAGUUUCGAAGGAGACGUUGUUGGGAUACUACCCUUGUGUUAUGGCCACUCUAACCCAGAUAGGUGAUCCCUAUCGGAGACAGUGUCUGACGGGCAGUUUGACUGGGGCGGUCGCCUCCUAAAAGGUAACGGAGGCGCCCAAAGGUUCCCUCAGAAUGGUUGGAAAUCAUUCGCAGAGUG
rnacentral:rRNA from 1 species